CUUAAAAACCAAAGCCGUAGCGGUGACGGUGGUCCAGCUCUUCUCUCCUCACCACUGACACAUGCACCCACAUGUUUUUCAUAACACAAGGCCGGAUCCCUUGAGCUUCUCUUCCAUGAUGUAAUCCAACUUUCUCCCCAUCUCUUCACUCAUAUAAUUUACCCAAUCACCUACCUUGCCUCUCCUGAAGAAGGCUGAUUUCUCGUAGACCACAUUGGGUCUUGGACGGAGCUUCAAGUUUCCGGCCCUAUUAGCCUCCAAGCCACUAAGCAUCUCAAAGCUGCACAACCUUACCACCUGCUCAUGAACACCAUCCUCUUCUUCCUCGCCGGUGAAUGGGACACCGAGGAACAAUGCAAGUUUCUUGGCAUACCUCACAGGAUCUGACAUCAUGUCUUCAUAUUUCAGGAAAAGAAUCCUAUCAGGGCUCGCGAUGCUUUCUUUCCAGUACUCGAGACAAUGGUUCCAAAAGGGCCCACUGGGCAAAGAACCCUCGCAAAACCUAUUGAACAUGGAGUCCAAGUCAGGAGCAUGUCCUCCAUGUAUCCUUUUCAAGAAAUGCCACAAUGACACAAAGGCAUCCUUGGGCUCUCGGCAAAUAUAAACAAUACGACAACCAUGGCUAGCUAUGGAUCCAGGAAGAAGUGACAUGGGCAUGUGGGUAGACACAAGCCUCGGGGAGGGAAGCGUCUCAACAUAGCUUAGGUCCUCAUUUGUAGGAAUUUCCAGGAAAGGCACUACCUCCUGUGGAUGAUGGGUGAGGAGCGGGUGGUCAUGGAAGUUGUAACGGUGGCGGGUGGUGAUAGUGAAGGCAAGUGCCUUGAGCCAUGUGGUGCCACACUUGGGGUUUGUGGCGAGGAUGAUAUCGUCGUGGCGAGGCUUGAAGAUGUCUUGGAGGAGCAUGAUGUUUUUGGCGGUCUGUGGCCACAGCCAAUAGUUCUUGUAGAGCACCAAGCCUUCUUUUGGUGGAAGUUUGGACACAAGAUCAUCAAUGUGGCUCUCGGCUGAGCUUCCCUCGUUGUUGGGAUGAGCCAUGGCUGGUUUUAUAUUUUGGGCCUUUUGGCAGGUGAUGGAUCCAACAAACAGGCAGCUAGCUAGCUAAAAGCUUCUGCUUCAACCCGCGGAUUGAGCUAGCUGC
rnacentral:lncRNA from 1 species